rnacentral:lncRNA from 13 species
CGCGGGCCGCCGGCAGCCCCCCGGGGGAGCGCCGCGGUCCUCGGGGCGCCCCGCCGCCCCACGGCGCCUCCUUCUCCACCCCCAGCACUCCACUGGAGCGGUCGCCGCCGGGCAGCGCUCUCUUUGACGAGGAGAGCCUCCGCGGGAAGCGGAGCCCCGGCUGCGAGCUACCCUUCUUGGCGCGCACCCCCUCCGCCCUGGCGCUGAGCGGCACCGCCAGCCCCGCCAACAGCAUCUUCUCCUCGCCCCGGCGCUGGCUGCAGCAGAGGAAGGGGCAACCCUCGCCGCCGGAGCCUCGCCCCGCCGCCUACGUCGUGUGGAAAUCCGAGAGAUUAGUGAAACAAAAAUACAUUUGUAAGAAGGUAACUCUGGGAUUUUGUAGCAUACUUCAGUAAAGCUCAGAAAGCUCAGAAAGAUGGUGACGAUAUGCAGGAAAUAUAUACCAUCCAGUGUUGAAAAGACUGAAGGAAAAAUUUGGUGUUACUGGAAUGAUAGAAACUGAAUGCCCUGACACUGUUGUGCAAAGAUAUGUGGAGAAAGCCUAUUUAAGAGAUUAUGGGAAUUCAUCAAGCACAAACAGCUGUGAAGGCAGCCUUAACUUUUGAGAUUGAUGGGAUUUUUGCAAUACAGAACACUUUAAUUACUUAAUUUAGGUGCUGGUGCAUUUCUUGUCAGCAUACUUACUUUUGGCACUGGUGUCCCAGUGUUUGAAAACACUGCAUCAUAUAUGGAAGCAGCAAUUGCCCAUGCACGCCCUUGCACUAUGAAAUGCCCGGGGUAGACUCUAACAUUUCAGUUGUUUAUCACAUACAACCGCGGUAUGACAGGCUGGCUAAAUACAGUAAAACAGGAGAAGAAGAAUGUGGGACCGCA